rnacentral:rRNA from 1 species
CCUACGGGAGGCAGCAGUGAGGAAUAUUGGUCAAUGGACGCAAGUCUGAACCAGCAAUGCCGCGUGCAGGAUGACGGCUCUAUGAGUUGUAAACUGCUUUUGUACGAGGGUAAACCCCGAUACGUGGAUCGGGAUGAAAGUAUCGUACGAAUAAGGAUAGGCGCACACAGUGCCAGCAGCCGCGGUAAUACGGAGGGUCCGAGCGUUAUCCGGAUGUAGUGGGUUGAAAGGGUGCGUAGGCGGUUUGAUAAGUUAGAGGUGAAAUGUCGGGGCUCAACCCCGAAACUGCCUCUAAUACUGUUGGACUAGAGAAUAGUUGCGGUAGGCGGAAUGUAUGGUGUAGCGGUGAAAUGCUUAGAGAUCAUACAGAACACCGAUUGCGAAGGCAGCUUACCAAACUAUAUCUGACGUUGAGGCACGAAAGCGUGGGUAGCAAACAGGAUUAGAUACCCCAGUAGUC